ACACACACACACACACACACUGUGUGCACCAGACCAGCCGACCGGCCUCCAGCGGCACCGACAGAAAACCCACUAUAGUUGUAGUUUUUAAAGCGCUGAUUCAUGGUGGUUGCGGGACGUUAGGAGGGCCUGGCGGGAUGAAUAAAGGGGGAACAGGAGACGGGUUCUCUGGCGGGACACAGGGCCCAGUCUUGUAGAGGACAGCCCCCCGGUUUGGAUGCCGGCGGUCGGUGGGGACGAUCCCGCCCGCUCAGGCUCAAAUUAACAUCGGCUUGAUCCUGCGGAGUUGCAACACAAUCCUCCAUUUGUCACCUGAAAAGGACACAAACAGUGGCCUCCUGGGUGAAAGUCACUUGACCUUCCCGUCCUCUCCUGGCCAACGAGGCCGGACGCAGAAGCUCAGCACUUUAUGUUGAUAUUGCUCGCUCUGAAAUGUGUACAGUAAUUGCACAUUUGGUUUUACCAAGGAAGAGAACAAGUCAUCGUCAACGUUUAAAUCCUUGAUCUAGUCUCUUACCUGCAGGUCUGACUUCAGUAUGAAGCGCCGUGGACGCUGAAAGCAGCAGGGCGACCUCACAAUACGUCACUUAUUACAUCCCAAGUCCAGCCGGCAGUGCGUGAAGCGAGAAGCAGCACCAACACACGGCUUUCUCCUCACAGUCAGCCUUUUGUUUCAAGUUGUUUUGAAGAGGAGAAGUUUUUUUUCUGACUCACCUCGUCCAUCACAGGCUUCAUCCUUUUACCUACGACCUCCUUCGGCGACGCUCAGCCCUUUUAGUGACAGACAGGGUGAGGUUUUCACUCAACGAAGACCUGAAAAUUGCUGUUUCCCGCAAUGCAGAGCCUCCAAUCAUCACCUGUAAAGCGUCUCUUCCACACUGAAGCUUUAGUUUGUGUUGCACCACACAGUGAGACGUGAAUGUUUCAUUGUCUACUGUCAGCGGUGAGUGACAGAUGAAAGGUGAACAUUGGUGCCGUUGUCAGCUUAGAUUAAAAACAUGAUUUUUUCAUUACUGUUGAAGGUGAUUUAGCGUAUUUGCAAUGCGCAGGAGUGCAUUAAGACGCCGUACAGGAGACCGUGAAUCAUAAUGCAUAUUUAAGAAUACAGGUUUCGCUGUUUCAAUAAUGCAAACUGUACAUUCAAGUGAUUGUUUAAUAGCUAAUUCCACUUUGAGACUAAAACAUGAAGCACGUUUAAUGGGUUGUGGGAAAAACAACACGUUUUAAUAAUCUGGCAUAGUUUGCAUAUUUGAGUGGAGGAGGAACGACGCAGGACAUGACGUGUCCAUUCAGCAUGCAGACACAAGGAACGCACUCAUUCAGACAGCAAACCGUGAACCACCAAGUUAUGUUGCCUGUAUGUAUGCGUCUAAAUGGUUAAUAUGUACUUGGGUCUGGUAUCUGGAUAUCAAAUGUAAUUUUGGUCUGGUGAGAUUCACAUUCUGAUCUCUGCAGAAAGAACACACACACACACACACACACACACACACACACACACACACACACACACACACACGAAUAGAAAUCCCUCUCACAAAUAAGUUCCAUUCCUCCGCAACAACUUUCAGCCAUAAACCACAUAUUUCAGCGUCGUCUGGCAUUUCCCCCAAAUUCCACUCCAACGUGUCAUUUUCUUUCCGUUGAGGCUGAACCGUGAAGGCGAGACCGUCCGCACGCACCCGCCUGCGCGUCCCUCCGUCCCUCCGUCCCUCCGAACCGGGACCUUCGAGUGACUUUGAGGGAGCGAGAGCUCCGGCCUCCUCGGCCACUGAUUAAUCGGCACGGGCCGAUUAAAGACGCAGCGCUCGGCAACCAAGCAAAACAAAGGCUGCAAAGAGUCAAAGAGCUUCGUGGCCUGCGUGGUACGCGCUCAGCGCCCGCUGCCGUGUGAAGACGUUGUUGACCUCUGAGAUGUAAAUUGGGCUUGUGGGUUAGUUCCCCUCAUGAAUCUUUGACUUCGCGGUUAAUGUUUCUCUGCGGAACGUGAGUGGAAAGAUAACGUUUUAUUAUUAUAACUCAUUAUCUUACAUCUCAAAAGUCACAGUGAGAACAAGUGAGAAGUGGGCUCGUCUUCUAAUAGACGUAUUUCUUUAGAUAUUUCUCAAAAAGCAACAUUUUAUCACAUCCAAGAGGGGUGAAUGCUUUUUGUAGGCAUUGACAUUGUCAACCGAGAGCAAACAAGACGCGAGCAGCAGCCAUGAACCACAGCUGCUUUAAAAGGCUCACCCGGGUGGGUUCAGUGACCUACGUAUGCACAGUUUAGUUCAGACGUAUAUUUCCUCAACAAGGUCUUCUGGUAGUAAAGAAGAAGGAAGCGUGGGUGGAAUGUUUGGCAGCUGUCGGCAGCUUUGUGAGCAGGAGUGUGUACUGCGCCCAGCCAGGUUAGCCUUUGUUGCACGUUGUUAAUCAUUAAUAUCCCUUAUUGGACAUUGUUAGCAUUGUUUUCCAGCUUGUACUAUCCAUUAGCAUCCAUUGUUAACCAUUGUUUGCCAUCACUAUCUUUUGUUAGCCACUAGGAGCAGGUCCUCUCAGUAGAAACGUCUCGGACCUGGACGCUGCUGCCUGACUCAUCUAAUGGGAAACACGGGUUGCGGCGUGAGCGCGACCACUCAUACUCCAAGCAUUCAGUGCAGCAGCUCUCGACCUCUGACCCCGACUCGGACCGUGAAGCCCUCAGCCCCUCUGGGGUCAAUGUUUAAGUCUUGUUCUCGUCUGGGAGCUGCAGCCUCCCUCCAACGCUCUGCACCUCUUUUACUGUGUUACGUAACCUUGUUAUUCCCAGAACUCUCGCUGUCCUUGUUUUUGCGCUGCGCUGCCGUGAAUGUUGACGACAGUGUUUUAGUUAGAACCAAUGUGGAUACGCCAAUAUUUUCUCACAUGAAUGCAGCGUGUGUACGUUCCUGAUAUGUCAGUCCUUAUGAGCACAAACUGUCCAAGCCGAGGGAAAUAUACGACUCGACGGCCCAAAGGGGAAACAUUCAAGGAACCUGCAAACAACCAGUCCAGGCUCCCGAGUUGGGCUUUAAAGACAUGGAAUAUCCAUGAGGUUCACCAUUUGCAUUAAAACAUCAAUUUGUAUGCAGCUGUCUGCAGUCAAGCAUUACGGUGCCUUGUUGGUCUCACUGGUCACACUUCUGACUAAAGAGGAGCUCAGUCACACGUGUAAUGGGACCUGAUCUGACAACAUCGUCUAGUCCUCAUUGGAAAAAGUCGGCAGUGAAAUGUUGCAUUUCUUUCUCUUCUUCAAGGAGUUCUAGAGUAUCUGAGAGUGAACCUUUGUUGCUUAGUAAAAUGCAACGUAACAUCAUAGCGUGAGGCGGCGUUUACGGUCAAAUCUAAUGUCUAUGGAUUUAUGGACAUUCCUUCAUGCACCGCGGAGAAGAAACCCCUGCUUGUUCUCCUCGAUCCACCACCAAACCCGCCACACACACACACACACACACACACACACACACACACACACACACACGCACGCACGCACAGGAUCAUGUUAUUCUUCCCUCAUGAGUUCCAACACAGGACGCAUGCAGAUGUAGACUCUCUGUCCCCCCGUCUCUCUCUGUGUCUCUCCAUGUUGUCGUGUUUCCAUGACCUGGAUUUCCUCGUCACAAGUUGUUUCAUUCUCCAAAUGUCCUUGAGAGUGCGAAGUACAGGGAGCUACAACAAAAACACUCACACACACACACACACACACACACACACAUUAUGACACACUGAGACACACACUCGUUUCAGCGUGAUCAACAUUCACCCAGCAACCUCUAUUUCGGUCUCUUAUAUGAGCUGCAAACAUACUGUCAGGCUCAGGAAUGUGAAAGUCACCCAGAAUAAGAAGAGAGGUACGAUAAAAAUGUGUGUGUGUGUGUGUGUGUGUGUGUGUGUGUGUGUGUGUGUGUGUGUGUGUGUGUGAGUGUGAGUGUGAGUGUGUGUGUGUGAGUGUGUGUGUGAGCGUGUGUGGUUUAGCGUACGUUUGAAUGUUUGCCUGCAUGUGUCGGGCCUGUGAUUGACAGGGCGACCACGUCAAGGACGUUUCCCUGUAAAGGACGAGCGCGUAAAGAUUUGGAUUAUUGUGAAUAUUUUCUAAUGAAAAGCAAAAGUAUUAUUUGUAAGCGCUGAGGGCUUAAGUUGGAUCCGAUCCCAGCUGACGGCGUGCAGCCUGGUGCAACCUCAGCAGCUCGCAGACUAUUAUGAGGCUCAUGUCAGGUCUGCACGUUUAUUGUAAAAGCUCAUUUAGUGUCCAGUGCAGGCAUUCGUGUUCAUGCAGCAAAGCAACAUAACACAGACAAACAACAUGCAAAACAAAAUAAAAAAAAUAAAAAAAUAUUCUGCAGUUGACUCGACGCCACAGAACGUGCAGUGUUCUGACUGGUAUCUGCACAGCGUCCUGCUCCGGACACACCAGGAGACGCCGGCGAGCUUCACAUGGCUUCACACAGGCGCUUUGCACGGGAUGCAUGAAUGAACAUUACCAUCUAGAUAGCAGGUCAUCUGCGCGGUUAUGAGCUGAUCAUUAUUCAUAGCAACCAAACAAUUUUACAGAAAACAUUGACUUUGGAUGCAACAAUGUGCUCUCUGUGGAUGUAUUCACAACAGCAGCAGUUAUUUUCCCUCCACGAAUGUAAUGAAAGCAACAUAUUUUGGUGUUGUUUGUGGCAGAGGGAGGCGGUGCAGUCGGGUCACGUUGUUCUUGUCUUUCCUCUUCACUUGCACAGGUACGCGUGUGGACGUGUUUCUCAAGUCUGAAUUGCAAACAGCAAUAAUUUUGUGUCGCAUACGAAGUCCAGACUGGGGCUAUUUAAAGCGGGCUGUGACAAUGCAGCUAACUGGAGUUCGGGAUGAAAUGUCCUCGUCCCGCAAGCCAAGAGGCCCCUGCAGGGUAACAGAGAGGGCACAAAGAAUCCCGACAAUAGUUUGUAUUCUUUUGUUUCUGUGGGGUUCGAUUUUUUUUCCAGGCAGGAAUAAAUAAAUAAUAAAUAAACAAGUGAACAAAUUAGACAACCAUAACAAUUUGAGUACGAUGGCUAGUGUCGUGUUUGCAAAAAACCUAGUAAAAGAUGAAUGGUGUUCUGUCCCAAAGGGGUUUGUGCAUCUCUGGGGGGGCUUGAGCAGAGAAAACAUGUAAUGGUGGUCUAACGAUGUAAUAAUUUAUAUUAAAUAUAAGAC
ensembl:lncRNA